rnacentral:tRNA from 1 species
GGUUAUAGCUCAGUGGUAGAUUGCCUACCUAGCAUGCAUGAGGCACUGGGUUCAAUCCCCAGCACCA